GCUUCAUUCUCUGCAAAGAACGCAAGAAAAAAAAUGAAAAGGGAAAUCCCUUUUCUCUGCUAGGGUUCCAGGCCCGCCGCCGUCACGCCUUCCCCUGCCCGGUGGCCGGAGCCAUGCAAGGGCGCCUUCAGGCCGCGCGUUGAAGCGCACUCAGAGAUCGAGGCCAAGGAACGGGGGGAAACGACGGGAAAAAGAAAAGCUUCGGGCCCCUAUCUAAACUUGCGUCUGACGACGGCGAAGGGCCGACGACGACGACGGCUUCAGGGGCCGAUUCAGGUGGUUUCUUUCCUUUUAUUUUUUUGAUUAUUUUUUGUUUAGAAUCGAUUCGCGAAAAAAUAAAAUAAAAAUAAAAGAAAUAAAUAUAUACACAAAAAAAUUUAAGAAAAUGAAGAGAAAAGCAGUUCAAAAAACCUUUUUCUUAAUCUCGAUUUUUUGAUUUCAAUAUAUGUGUGUUCGUUACAAGGAAAAUCGAAGAAGAAGCAUUACAGUUCCGAUUUCGGUUUAUAUAACCGAUUUAAAAAAUCCCUAGAUUUCUAUUUUGACGUUUUGUGCCUUGGAUCGUUCGUUUGUCGUUUUGCAUGUUGUUGUUUCCUUUUUGUUGUUUCUCUGUUGCGUGUGUUCUCUGUUUUGCAGGCGACUGAUGUGACGAGGCAGACACAAAGUCGUCGAUUGGUGAGUCGAGCGGUGGUGGCGCUAAAGGCCGACCAGGGAACGUGCGGUGCCAAGGGACUUGGGCAGAUGGCGCUAGGGCUCAGGGAGGCCACUAGGGUUUGCUGAAAGUUGAUUUUUUUGGGCCUGGUUAUUUUGGGCCAUUGUUAUUGGGUCUCUGGUUUAGAUACUGGGCCCAACAAAUUUGGGCUUCUACACAAGGCAUGAAGAUGGAGAGGACUUAAAAGCCUUCCAUAAACAAACCUCUUUCUCUGCUCAGAACCAGAAUCGCACAUAUAGAUGAAUCGGAGUUCAAAGCGAUGAUGGAGUGAAAUCAAGCCACAAGCAUCGGAAACAUCACAUUUCCAAAGCCGUUUUAAAUCUCAUCAACUCAACUAUGUUGAUAUCUAUAGUAAGCAGCUCCACUGCUCUUCCUAACUUGGCCAUCACCUUUGAACUUCAUUUUACCCUCAUCAGGCUUCCUACAUGAAACAGUGUUCCUCAUAGAUUUUGCUUUAACCGGGAUACGACAGGCCAAAGGGUUAACCCACAAAAGAUUGUCUAUAAAACUCCUCACCAUCCUUAAUCCCAAAGAAUUUUGGGCCCAUAAGCAUUGUUCCUAAACUUUAUGUCACCAACCAGGGGCAGCACCACGGCCAAGGCAGGGUGCUUGUUUCAUAAACUUGUUUUCUUUUUAAUCCCAUGUAAGAUUCUGGGAUGAUAAAAUAGUAAAACUUGCAUUUUACUGUUGGUAAUCCAGGUUUAAUUUAUAGGAAUUAGUUUAGAUUUGAUUUUGAGUUAUCUUUAUAUGUGUCAUAAAGUUUGGUAAAUUGAUGUCAAAUAGAGCGAGGUAGACCAUUAUCUCUUUUAAAAUUGUAUCUUGAUUCAAUAAAAAUUUAAUAUGGUAAGAAUUUUAGUUAGUGAAA